rnacentral:rRNA from 1 species
GACGAACGCUGGCGGCGUGCUUAACACAUGCAAGUCGAACGGAAAGGCUCCAGCUUGCUGGAGUACUCGAGUGGCGAACGGGUGAGCAACACGUGGGUAAUCUGCCCUGCACUCUGGGAUAAGCCUGGGAAACUGGGUCUAAUACUGGAUAUGACCUUUCUCCUUAUGGGGUUUGGUGGAAAGUUUUUCGGUGUAGGAUGAGCCCGCGGCCUAUCAGCUUGUUGGUGGGGUGAUGGCCUACCAAGGCGACGACGGGUAGCCGGCCUGAGAGGGUGAUCGGCCACAUUGGGACUGAGAUACGGCCCAGACUCCUACGGGAGGCAGCAGUGGGGAAUAUUGCACAAUGGGCGGAAGCCUGAUGCAGCGACGCCGCGUGAGGGAUGACGGCCUUCGGGUUGUAAACCUCUUUCAGCAGGGACGAAGCGUAAGUGACGGUACCUGCAGAAGAAGCACCGGCUAACUAUGUG